UACGUAGGGUGCGAGCGUUGUCCGGAAUUAUUGGGCGUAAAGAGCUUGUAGGCGGUUUGUCGCGUCUGCUGUGAAAGCCCGGGGCUUAACCUCGGGCGUGCAGGCGAUACGGGCAAUACUUGAGUGCUGUAGGGGAGACUGGAAUUCCUGGUGUAGCGGUGAAAUGCGCAGAUAUCAGGAGGAACACCGAUGGCGAAGGCAGGUCUCUGGGCAGUAACUGACGCUGAGGAGCGAAGGCAUGGGUAGCGAACAGGAUUA
rnacentral:rRNA from 1 species